GACAGAGGGGGCAAGCGUUGCUCGGAAUCACUGGGCGUAAAGGGCGCGUAGGCGGGAUGGCAAGUCGGUCGUGAAAUCCUUCGGCUCAACCGAAGAACGUCGGCCGAUACUGCCGUUCUUGAGGGAUGCAGAGGAGAUUGGAAUUCCCGGUGUAGCGGUGAAAUGUGUAGAUAUCAGGAGGAACACCGGUGGCGAAGGCGGCCCUCUGGACGGUGACUGACGCUGAGACGCGAAAGCGUGGGGAGCAAACAGG
rnacentral:rRNA from 1 species